UUCACUUAGACCGUCGUUGUUUUCUGGUCGUCUUUUUCACUUUUUGUAGUAGUGACCUUACAAAAAUCCUCUUUCUGUCCUUGCAAUCGACAUUCCCUCUCUCAUCUCUCCCACACGACUAAGUGCCACCACACAAGGAUCUAGCCAUCUGGCUCUCCCCAUGAGAGAAAACUCCAUCUAUUUUAGCUAUUACCCUAUCUUUUCUCAAAGAUUCAAUUGGACUAACUUAGGCAUUGGAGGGCAUUUAGCCAACAGCCCCCCAGGUGUGGUGUAUUUACUCUUAUUUAUUUCGCAGGGAUCAAGGAAGAGAGAGAAAGAAUAUCAACGGUCGAUGAAUCAACCAGGGUCUCCCGUGAGAAAUUUGCACAAACAUUUUAGUGCUUUUAUUGAGAGCACGAGUUAUACUCAACGUGUGCUCUUGAAUAAAAGAAAUAUGUUUCCUCCUAUACGUCACUCAACCGAAGCCUUCCAAAAAACCAUGGUUGGAAGCAAGUGCAUGAGAAGCAAAAACAUUGCGACUACUCAAUCCGCGACUUUUGUGGUUGAAACUGCGGCUCCUCCUCCCAACCCAUGGCCAUGAACCUCAUGCCUUCUUACGACACCACUACCGCAAGCCUACCAUCAGCUUAUGCGGCCGGGCCAAUUGUUAGAUAUAUGCCUUAGAAGCCAAUAUAAAAUAGAUAAUUGUAAGAAAAUAAUAUAUAAUAAUCAAAGGGGCAAGAACGUUACUUUAGAUACAUAACGUACACAAAGUAACAAAUCCAUGGAUUAAGAUAUAAAUGAAAAGUGGUCUAAAAAAGUUAGAUGCACGAGACCUUUCCAUAUAUAUUAAUAUCGUAUCCUAAAAUGUUCCUGGUCAUAGGAUUACCACAGGCCAUGACCCAAUCGUGGAGGAACUUCAUUCAUUCCUUCCUUUGCCACCCUGCUCGACGUCCGCUCCCUGUACACCUCUAACGAAACCUUAACCCGUGUGCCACUAGGCUCCACGUAAUUCUCUCCUCUUGAUCCAUGAUGUCAAGCAGACCUUAGUCUUAGAGUUGACCUACUGACUCAAAGAAUGGAAGACCAAAACAACUUGGUUGGACAACUCCUCAACUAGAUUGACUUGGUCUGAGGCCUUGGCCUUGGACGAACGCACUCGUAGGUAAUUCGAGAGGUCCCAUGCAGGUCGACCAAGAACAAGCAGAUAAGGAGAAGAACAAGAGCUUGCUCAGCACUUUGGCUCGCAAGCAUUCGGAAGCCCUACUUAAAAUAUAUCGAGUCUCUAAUCGAGGUUAAGUCCAAGGAUCAACGUGCAUGAAUGGUUGGGCCCACGACAUGAUGUUCAUGCCCUCCUGGGUCCACAAAGAAAUGUUCAUGAGAGACUAGGCCCUCAGGAAGGUCAAUCUAUCAACCCUCGUAACAAGUUAUGUGAAGAGCUAACCCACAGAGAAUCUCUCGCAAGCACAAUCUAGAAUAAGAUCCCACGUAGGAUUUGAACCUAUGAUGAAUCAGUGGAAACAAUGAUUAGUGGAUAUUGGUACAGUCACUGCACAGGAAGAGAAGGAUUAGGGAUUCAGUGGUGUACCAAUACGCCACAUAGGCAAGAUGACCAAGAAGGUCAGCCCCUACAAGCCAUCGAAGAAUUUAAUUAGCAGCGCCCUCAUCGUGAGAAAAAUCUGCGUGAAACAUGUACCUGGUGAGUAGAGGACGUUGAGAAAUUCGUGAAUAACCGACUUCGAGACUUGAAAAUUGAAGGAGAUUCAGAGGAUACCUUAUGUAGGGAGAUAGACCAAGUGAACUCUUCUUCUUUCACUAGUGAGAUCGAGCAGGCAGCUCCCCCAAAAUGGUUCUCAACGUCAUCCUUCAAACUAUUUAAAGGGGAUUUCGAUCCUGAGAGUCAACUCAAGCAUUUCAAAAGUGCUAUGAUCUUGUACAAGGCUGAAGAUGCUCUGAUAUGCAAGGUAUUUGCAAUGCCCUGUGAGGAGUAGCCCAAGACUGCUUUCAUACCCUGCCGCCCUGGUGUACCUAUGGAAAAACCAAGAUGAAUCCCUUCAAGAGAUUCAAGGUAGAAAAGGUAAACAUCAUAGGAUGCAAUGACCAAAUCGUGUCCUCUGCCUUCAAGAAGGGCUUGCCAACUGAGCAUGGCUUAUACCACGAGCUAGCUAUCUCAGCUGGCUAUCUCUCCAAGGCAGACUCUGGCAGAGGUCUUUGUACUUGUAGAAACCUGCAAGCUGUGGGAUCACGAUCGAAUCGCCGCGAAAAAGUUUACUAGGAAAGCCAAUUAGAUUCAGCAACAAGACCAGUGGCAAGCGCAAGUCGCAGCCUCAAGGGGACGCUCUAGCAGAUGAAAACUACACCAAGUUCUCCAUCCCCAUACAUUAAAUUUUAGCCAAAGUGAAAAACAAUCCUUAGGUGAAGAAACCACCACCCUUGAAGGAAGAUCCAACCAAGAGGGAUACCAGAAAAUACGGUGCCUUCCAUGAGACACAUAGACAUUUCACAAAUGAUUGCUUUGCUUGGAAAAAUACCUUAAAGAACUAGUGGGAGAAGGCCAUCUAGCAUAUUGGGGAUCGCGAGGCAACCAAGAAGCCUUCCAAAAGGUCAUAAGGAUUAAUAUGAUCUUGGUCGAUUUCGAGGAGUCUAGGUUGACCAACAUAGAAGAGGAAGAUUAAACGCCACUACAAUCUCCCAAGUCUUAAUCAGCCUCCAAUUAGUCAAAGACGAACCCGUGACCAGCUUCUAGUAUAAAGAAUUGAUUGGCCUUGAUAUGCUGCAUAACGAUGCCCUCAUCAUAAACAUUCAGAUUGCCUAAGCUGUGAUCAAUCGAAUCCAUGCAGAUGAGGGCAAUGCAGCUAACAUCCAACAAUUGUCGAUCGUCCAGUAGAUGGGUAUAGAGACAACCCUAAACCCUAAAGACAUCAUUUUCCUCAGCUAUAGUCUCACCAGCCACCUGCUCUUCGGCUACUAUGUCCACCGCAUUGAUUUGCUAACUUUGAGAAGAGAGCAUGUUAGGGUAGAACGUCUCAACAUCUUCAUCUUCAAUGAAAUAACAAGGAAAGACCCCACUCUUGCAAUCAAAGUAACCCAGCUAUAUGCUUCGAUAACGACCUCAAACUUGGAUUGCCAUGCAGCUUUGUGAUAGGGUUUAAGCUUGGCUAGAAGUUUGUCAUAGCUUCGAGUCAUGUCAGCAUUUUGGAGCUCGUGACGGAAGAAAGCUUCCUUGCGGCUACAGAAGACUUGAGUUCACUAUAUUUUUUUAUCAAGGAAACUUUUCAGCACAUACAUGCUCUCAUUCAUUUCAGACACCCUUGUUUCAUGGCGGCUCUGCUAUGCCGAGAGCUUGCCAGUCAGAUCAACAUUCUUUUUCUUCAACUCACUAAGCUAAGCAGAAGGAGGAGGCAACAUCGGACGAAUUUCGAAUGGCCUCAACAACCAAAACUACACAUUUUUGAAGUAAAUAGACAACCGCUUCCUUUUGCUUUUCCAAGGAAAGAUUUGAGAACAUGCCAAGAUCACUAACCUGAUGUAUAUAAUCAACUAGCUUGAUGCAAGCAGACGAGCUUGAUAAAAAGUUCAUCACGAGCAGAUCAUACACACAUACAUCCUUUGUGAAGUUGCACUUGUCAACCUUUGGACCAGCUGUUUGAGUUUUCGAAGAAUCCUUCGCCCAAGUAGAUAACUCUCUAGCCUUCUUAGCCACUGUUAUCCUCGCCUCCAAAGGAGUCCAUGACAUCAAAUCAACUCUAUGUUUGACUGCUCUUGGCUUGAUAGUUAGAUCGCCAUGGUUAGGUGGAGGAGCAGUCUUCCCAGUUCAAUCCUCAUCCCUUGAUUGGUAUGGACAACUCAAGCUUCGUGGAGGAAUGCCAACAUCUCUUUGCUUCUCGGCAGGUGAACCUGUUCGGGAAUGGACAUCUUUGUAGGGCAGAUUGCAGGUUCUAGGAUUGUCAAUUGGAGACUUGAGCGGAAUAUCCCGAACAUUUUGCAUGCCACCAAUCUUCUUACUAUCCACGCCAACGAGGUGCUUGACAUUAGCAGAUGAGACCUCUUUCGAAGAAGAUUUGAUCACAACAGAAUGAAGUCUUGGCUUUUUUCUCAGUGGAGACACAUCCCUUGCCCAUGAGGUUCCAGCUUAAUCUUUAGAGGGCCUGGCAUGAACCUUCCUCUUUUUAGAGAGUGCGGUCGAGGACUCCUCCCAUUCGGCAAGUAGAUUGUUCGAGGUGGCAACCUAGUUGGGAUGUACAUAUUUUAUAGUGAUGCACUCAAUAACCUUAAUGAAACAAUGUAAUAUGUUUUAUGAAUUAAUAAAUUUAUUGUUAUAUUUUAAAUAGGUUUUCUAAAAAAUUUGUAACAAAAAUAAAAUAAAAUGCCCAUCGGCGGGCUUGGGCCUAGUCCUUUGAAACCUCCGCUCGGUCCAGCCCGGCCUAAUGACGAACCCUACUAUAACCCCUCAUUGAAAUGAUCGGAUGGGUCUCCUUAUUUUAAAAGCCUGCAAUAUUUUGAUCCAAAACUUAUAUCUCAUAUGAUGAAUUGUAUUAACCAUUUGAAGUUCAUAUCUGGUGUUUCCUUUUUGACACUUUUUAAAAAAUAAAAAAAUAAUUUUUAUCUUUUUUAGUCUAUAAAUAUGAUAAUUUACUUUGUUGCUUCCUCUGAUCUGAUGCGUGUACUAUGUGGAAAAAAUGCAAUCUAUAAUCACAAAGAAUACUAAACAAAUUUAGAGUGCAAGAACUAGCAUCACAAAGCAAAAGCAUUACAAGGAUAAUGAAGAAAACUCAAAAAUCCUUAUUCCAAAGCAACUUCAGUUGCUCAUUGCUCCGGAGAGACAUACCCCAUCUAAAUAAAUGGAACGGAAUGCCAAAAAUCUUGACAAUUGGUUAUUCAACACCAACGCAUAAUUACAUAAGCUAAAACCAACAAGACUGACAAUUGGUCCUGCAAAUUCUCAAGGAGAUAUUAAUUUUAUAAAAAAUUUGAAAAUAACGGAGUUGCUUUUGAUAAUUAUUCAAAGGCUUUAUUGUGGUUGUGUUUUACAAGUCUUUAUGAUCUGUUUAAUUUAUUAUGUUAUUAGCAUUAGUCAUUAGUUAUUGUUUCUUCUGUAACAUUUGUAGUUUGUUUGUUAUGUAAGACUAAUGUUUUUUCGGAAAUCUUUUUAUCUUAAUGUUUUUCCGUUACAGACUUCGGAGCCUGAUGCUCCGGGUUAUUCGGACCCCGAGAUCUACGCAUUGGUAUAAAUUAUGCUUGUAUUACUUUAAUUUAAUUUCUUUUGUUAAUCGGAUUGCAAUUUUUUUAGCUACUGAAUUGGGUUGCGAUUUUGCUGCUGGCGUUUGAAGUUAAAAGUUUAGUUCUUGCUUCCAAGUCCAAAAUGCUUUUACUGAAUUGGGUUGUAAUUUCGCUGUCAGUAUUUAAGUUAAAGUUCAGUUCAUUCAUUUCAAAUCAAGAAAAGCACAACCAAAUGUAAAUGUGCAGAAGAAGAAGCACCACCAAAUUGUAAAUGGUGCAAGCUUCUAUCUCAUGGACACAUGAUAACUGCUGUUGGUGGGAAUGGGGGUUAUUCUGGCUGGAAACAGUUCAUUUGGGCUGAAUAGCUUCGAGAGAAUCUGGCCUACCUGCGCCAUGGGAGAGCAUUGAUAGUUAAAUUGGUAAACUACUUUCUAACAUUUGCCUUGCUAUAUGAAUUAAGAGAGUUGCCUUGAGGAAUGUUAAAAUUCUCUGUCUUAAUCGGCUACUCGCGUAUUGGUUGAUAUUGUGGACUUCAAUGGUAGAUUUUUGGCUGUUGCAAAUCCUAUAAUAUUAGUGAUUACUAAGGUAUUAAACUGCCUGCUGGUGCUUCUUUAAUGUGAUAUUGAUGUAAGCGACCUUUCUAAGUGAUUAUACUUUCUAAUAUCAGGUUGAUUUACGUCCCAAAGGGACUGAUUUUAAUUGUAUUGGUGAUUGGGUUGUAGAGGCCACUGUAAAGAAGAAAGCAAGAUUGGUUUCCUUGACUAUGCUUUUAUUUAUUUAUAAUAUUAUCAAUCAAAAGAUUUUCCUGGAAUUCUUGAUGAGAAAACUGGUCCCAUGUAGUUGGGAUUAGGGCUCUAUUGAGUUUGAGUUGUUUGAAAUGGUGGUUACUACAAUGGAAGCUUGAAUUAUGCUUGUGCUUGUGCGCAUGUACAUGUGUGAAGUUCAUUAACUGGACUAAUUGAUAACAGAAAUUAAAGCUAGCUGAGUAAAUAGGUUGACCUCUUGUUUACUUGAAACAAAAUAUUACUGUGUAUCAUUUAAAUUUAUUUCAACCUGAAUUCUUUGGCUGUUUCUUGGUGCAGGGGCGGGACUGUUCUGGUUAGUCUCUUAAGUGGAAGUUUAUGUCAAGUGAUUCUAAAACAUUUUGAGACCUGAACAAUUGUGUACAUAAUACAUGUAACAAGAGGGAAAACAGUUGUCGUCGUUUUUCCUUAUCAAUUGAUUAUCCUUUGGUUUUAAAAUUACUACUAAUCUUUUACUCUGCUCUAAUUUAUCAACAAUAAUAUUUUCAUUAUUUGAGAAAUAUACUGUAUCUGAUAGUUUACAUUACACGUUCUCUAUACGGCCCAGCAAAUGUUGGGAAAUCAGCAUUCAUCAGUGCUUUGCUGAGUAAGUUAAUGACAUUCAUUCUGUGUUUUGUUGCCUUUGGUAGGCAUGUAGCUUAUUCAAGAUUAAAGUUAGUGUUUGUACCAUAUUUGGAAAAUGGGCAAAAAAUGGUCUAAUUCUCAAAAAAGAUUUAUUAAGCCCAGGCCCAAUAUCUUUCCUCUAGAAAAGACAAAAAGAUCGUUUUGAUUUUGGGCAAACGGUGGGUAAAAACUUCGUAGAAGCCCACAGUGCUAAGGGACCCUAACUUUGGUCCACACUAAAAGUUAAGAAAAUUGGUAACCGUUGCACAUUGACCCAAGUGAGGGUCUGAAGAAAGAUUGUCACUAUUAAUGGCGACUUGACCGCCUUCUCUCCCAACAGGAAAAGCGAGCUGGAUAAUAUCCACUAAGAUCGGAAGAAAACGAUUACCAACUGGAUUUCCAGUUACAAAGGACUCAAAUCAGAAAAACAUCUCUUAUGACCAAUGUUGGUCCUAUUCUUAACAACUAAAAUGAGUUUUUAAAAACAGUAACUUUAAUUCUCGCAAGUGCACAAACAAUUUAUAGUAUAGCUUAUGUAAAUACAAGGUCGAUCCCAUGGAGAAUGGUAACUUAGUUCCAAGUUAAAUUACUUAGGAUGCUAGAAAAACAUAAAACAAAGAAAUUGACUAACUAACUAAAGGCAAAGUCAAAUUCAACAAUGCCUCUUGCUAAUUACUCAAGGUCUAGGAUAGAAUCUUAGCACCACACACGGACUCGAAAUUGGGGGUUUUGUUGUUGAAAUGAUGACAUGAAGGUGAAAAGAAAGUGAUGGAAAAUAAACAUUGGCAACAAUCAACAAGUUGUGAAACAAGGAUUGAGAGGUGUUAGAGCCUUGGAAUCGACCACUAAUCUUCCUAUCCAAGUUAUGAAUGCAUAGAAAUUAACUCAAGCUUCAUCAACAAUAGAUUAUCGCAUACAAGCCUAUGGUAUCUAGGUGUAGGAUGCAUGAUUCUUCUAAAGCAUGUGAUUGUGCAUGGUAUCUACACAACACGUGAUCUCUAAUAUGCAACCUAAGCAUGGUCUCUACUUAGAAUAAAGCAUACAAGAGUCAUUAAGCUCCUUAAGAAUAUGAUAAUUACACAAGUCCUAGAACAUGGUAUCUAUCCUAGUCAACCUCUAUGUUGAAGGAUUCUUAGGCCAUUCAUGUGUUUCUUGUGAAAGGAGAGUAGAAUUGGUGAAUCUAAACCCCUUUCCAACCUAUGCUAGAUGCAUAAAAUCCUAGUUAGCUACUCUAAGAAAACAUACAUCAAGCACAUAACAGACUGAAGAUUAACAACUUGAUAAUGAAAGUAAGGAAAUCAAUUAAUUAUAAAAUCAUCCACAACAUUGAAUAUUCAUAAUGAGGGCUUCAUCCUAAGCCCAACUAAAUGGAUUAGUUAGACAUAACUAUGAAUACAGAAAAUAAGAAAUACAUAGAUAGAAAAAAGAGAAGAGAAGAACUAGCUGGUGGCAGCAAGGUAGUUCCCAUGACAGCUCUAAGCUCUCCCUCCUUUUCAACUAGCUCUCUUUUCUCUUUGUGGUGAAUUUGAAUGCAUGAGUAAUGGAUGAAAUGAAUCUGUCUCUGUCUCUAUCUCUCUCCUUCUUGAAUGAAUGUGCAGCUCUCCAUUUAUAGAGUGCCAAUUUCGUCCUCCCUUUUGGCUGGUGAAGCACACCUCUCUUAGCUGCUCCAAACUGUCUUAGUUGCCCAAUAAAUGCCAACCGCUUUAGCUGCCCAAUAAAUGCUUUUAUUUUGCUAGUCCUUGAGUAAAACAAAAUAAAACUACCAUUUAGAAAACCGGAAAUAAGCAGCUAGUCUACCAAAUAAUAUCCUCAAAGAAUCACAAUCACAAUCUAAAUUUCAUACAUAAUUCAAGAGUAUGCGCAGCUUUCAAAGAAAUCCUUAAGUAUAGUGUGUGAAUGCUGAAUCAAAAUAAUACCUACAACUCAAAUAAGUACAUGCGCGCACACUUAGAGCAAAAUCAAGAAUUCCGAAUCCCAUAAGCUCAUUAUCAAAUCAACUCUCUACAGUAAUGCCAUACAAUACCGAGGAUCAAAAGGACUUUACAAGGGUUGUAAUAAGGCUUAGGGUAGUGGCUGAAUGAAAGAAGAGGCAUGGAUGUAUAACAACAUCUUGAGCACAACUAAAGCACAGGUAAGAGCAUGAGACAUUAUUGAACUUUGUAACGAGCAAGGAACACAACUUUGUAACGAGCAAGGAACACAUACAUGAGUAUAUUUUCAACAUAAUUUUAGCACCUUCAUAUCUGUUUAUUUGGCCUAAUUUUGUGGCUCUUUACCCUAGAUCACCAUGAUCUUUUCCUUAUAACACCCUAAGGGGUGACUACAUUGAUCACACUUCAUUACCUCUUUUGAUUAGUUACCAAUACCCCCAAACUUAUUUCUUUUCAACACUUGGCUCUUUACCCUAUAUAUAUCGCUCAUUGAGAGAAGAAUAAACAUAUCAGUUUAAACCCUAAUUAUUUUUGUGUUCUCUCUCUCUCUUUCUCUCCAGCAAAGCUUGUAUUGGUAGGCCUCGGCGGCAAUAAGAAUUACACGGACAAUUUUUGAGGUUUUAAAUUAUUUUCACAAUUUGUUGAUUUUUUUUCCAAAAAUUAUUAUUUUUUAUUUUUUAUUUUUAGAUUGUAGCUACAGCUGAUAUAGCCCAGAAUGUAGAUGCAUCCCUGAAUUUGUCAUGCCUUGAAAAUUGUAGUUAGAUGAGUAAAAAUGCUACCUAUUAGAGCAAGUGCAGUGCUAGGGCCUUGUCCUGGCAACAGGCCCUCCUAGGCCCGAGUUCCACCUCCAGCGUGCCAAACCCAGCCCUGGCAAGGCAUGGGACCCACUACCCCGGGCAAGCUAGCAUGCAAAAAUGGACUGGGCUAUUGCCUGAAGGCUGCUAACUUCAGCAUGAUGUCAGCGCUGACGCACCAACCUACAUAGCCUAAUGGCUACAAGCUACGUGGCUUCUCCUGGAGCCUCCGAUCAAAAAGUCUUGCCUAAUCCAAAGGCUGAAAAAAAUAUCAAACAAUUAAAAAAAAUAUAUCAAAAAAUUCUAGAAAUUGUUUCUAUAAAUACCAACCAAUACUAUUCACUUUCCACACUAAAUCUUCAUAUAUAAAUUCAUCUCCUUCCAAUAUUUUUCACUUUCUACACCAAAAUUUCAUUUGUGCAAAAACACAAAUGGUCUCUUCCAUUGAAGCCAGAGGGUCGUGGACAAACAUUUAAAGAGGUCAAAUCUCGGCAGCAAGGUAAAAAAAAAAUUUAGUUACUGUUUUAUUCAAUUUAAUGUCAUUUUUAAUAUAUAUUUCUUGCAUUUCUAAUUUCAUUUCUUGCCCAUAUUCGGAUCCAGUGGUGCUUUCCGUGUUGGAAAUAAUGGCACUAUUACGUCCUCCGAAGGAAAAUACUCCCCCACAUCAUGAUCUGGUGGAACUGCCUCCGCCAAUGGUUGAGUCGUCCUUAUAUUCAAUUGUGUCGAACUAUGAGGAUCGGGAGUAUUUCAAUUGUAUGAUGAGUGAGUAGGUAUUUCAAUUGUAUGAUAUGAGUGAGAUGUGAAUUUCAUAAUAAAUAUGGACACGUGGCAACCAAAAAUCUUAUCCGAAAAUUUAAUUUGCAAAUUUAUCCGAAAAUGUUAUCUGAAAUUUUAGGUGAGAAUUUUAUAAUAAAUAUUGACACGUGGCAACUAAAAAUCUUAUCCGAAAAGCUCAUCAAAAUUAAUGGUUUAAGUACAAUAAUAGAAAAUAAAUUAAAGUGAAUAGUAAUUGCUUUUGCCAUUGCCUUUUGGGGUGGAAUAAAAAAAGACAAGGCUGCCACUAUUCACGUGAAUAGUGACAAACUUUGCCUUAAUUACCUUUGCCUUACCCUUGCCCUUUGGGGUUGAGUGUGCCGUACAAGUUAGCUGGAGACUUAAUAAGAGCAUUCACAAUGGGGGGAUGUAUUUUUGGAAGUGUAAAGCCACUUUUACAUCCCUUUUACACCUCUAAAGGGUGUAAAUACGUUUUUUUCUUCAAUGGGAAAUGAUGUAAAUCCAAAGAUGCAUAUUUGAUUUGUUUGUGAUAAUUCUUUUUUGUGUGUUUUUUUUGUAUGUUUUAACUUUUUAAAAUUAAUUUUGUGCGUGUUAGAUUUAUUUUAUUUUUCCAAAUAAAUGGACCUAAAAAAAUUUAAAUUUGGAGAACAUAUGAUUUUACCUACAAACUAACAUAAAAAUAUCUAUGUAGAAAUCUGGGCCAUUGGAAGUGCAAUGCAAAUUGCAUGAAAUCUAGGCCUUCCAUUUUGAAUUCCAAUCCUUCUCUUUUCCUUUUUCUCUUGUGGAUCCCGCCUGUAAAGGAUGUAAAAAGAGAUGCAAAUGUGCAUUUAAUUUUACAUCUCCAUGAUAGGGAUGUAUUUUUACAACCAUUUACAUCUUUUCAUUGAAGAUGAUUCCAACAACAAAUGGUGUAUAUUUAACAUACACCCUUAUAUAAACCCUCCCAUUAUGAAUGCUUUAACAAUAUUAAUUACCUUAUCACUUGACUGAAUAUUGGUACAACGUAAGUUGAUAAGCAUAGUGUUCACCCGUUUUGUGUUUACUCCUGAGAUGGAGGGGCGAAGUUCCCCACUGGCUUGGAGACCAUUUGUUGGUCGACAAGUCAGCUUUCUUUGGUGUGUGAGCGUGCCACUGCUAGCAAUGUAAAUCCUAGCAGACUUCUUUUUAGAGUGGAUAACUUGCGCCCCAAGUUACUGACUUCUAAAACAAACGAUUGUGAAUUUGGGUGAGGAAUAUCUCCCAAGUAAGUUCUUUUCUUGCCUCAGACUGGUGAGGACUUUCAUAAUUUAUCUCAGUAUCAAAUGACUGUUCUGGCCAGAAAUAUUCGAUAGAAGUUGGGCUGUUUUAGGCAGAAGCGCUUUUUACAAAACAAUAAAUAUGCAUAUCAACGCUAGGAAGGUUAAAAAAUGGCUGGAACUCCGCUUCUGCUUGGAUGGAAGGCUCUGGUUUGGGCUGGACUGGACGCGCCUGGGCCGGUUCGUACUGCUUCGUGAUUUCAGAUGCUAGGCUGAGCUAUAAAUCGAUACCAAAGUUCAAUUUUGGCAGAGCUUUAUGUUUGCUUCACGCUUCGUGAGGCUUUUGAGUGGGCAGAAUUGCAGCUUCUUCAGUUUGAAGGGGCAGAAGUGGCUAUUCUUGGCUUUUGCUGAACCAAAUUUGUAACGAGAGAGAUCUCGUUUUAGAAGACUUAUUUUCUAAGUCUGAACUUUGGAAUUCUGAUCUAAAGCUGGUUUAUCUUGGAAUCCAAGUGAGCUUUUGGUUGUUUUUUUUUGUUGUGUUUUUUUUUUGAUUGAUUGAUGAAUUGAGUUCCCCUCUUCCUUGCCUAUUUCUGCUUUUAUAAGAGACCCUCUUGGGGAGGUGCUUUUUAUUAAUGGGCGGUAAAAAGAUCUCCUAUAAUGUAAAGUAAAAGGGAUUUUUAUAAAUCAUGGCAGAUAGGCUCUCAGUAGUCACCUCCUAAAGCAAGCCCUUUCCUGGUUUCCUGGGUGGCAGCUUUUUAUUUCAACCAACGCCACCGUCUGUGUGGGCUAAAUUUUAUGGCGGUUGGUUUUCUUUUUGUAUUUUCUGAACAACUCUCUGUUUCCCGUUCUAACUUUAGAAAGUGUGAUCCGUGAAUUCCUCAGAAGAUGGUGUAUUGCUCUGGAGCAAAAUCUCCGAACAUAGAUGGUUUUGAUCUUCUGUUGGCAGUGCUUCAGAGAUGUCCCUCUCAUAUUUUUAUUUUAGUUGGAAUUGCUGACUUUUCAAAGCUGAGGUAGUCACGUGGGUAUGUUUUUAAUCCCUUGGGUUUGAACCCAAAAAAUUAUGGGUUGAUCCUUGAAGCCCAAAUGACAGUUUCUACGUUUGGUCUUUCUUGGGCUGGGGGCUGGUGUGAAGCGCAAUCUGUCUGGAUCCUAAUUUUUGUUAUCCUCAAGCUUUUUGGGCUGGGCAGGUAAUUUUACCAUGGGCCUAUCUUUUGAACUUUGAUGUGCUAGAUUUAGGUCCAAACACAUAGACAUCAAGACUGAAUUUUUGGAUAUACACGAUAAACACGUUGCUUUGCCUUCCUGCUUUUGUCAACACUGCAUGCAUGGACCCAACAUUGACUUGAGCCAGGCCAUUACCCUCUCUCUCUCUCUCUCUCUCUCUCUCUCUCUCUCUCUCUCUCUCCCUCCCUCUCCCUCUCUCUCUCUCCACCAAGCAUGUAUUGGUAUGCCACAACAGUAAGAAUUACACGAACAACCUUUGAGGUUUUAAAUUGAUUUAACAAAAUUCUUUUUCGUUAAUUUUUUGUCAAAAAAUUAAUAAUUUUAUUUAUAAAAAAAAAUUCCUUCAAAUGACAAAGUUUGACCCCAGUAUUAUAUUGCAAAUACAUUCAUCAUUUGCAUAAAGUUUCAUUGAGUGGACUAGUUUCAAAUGGGAUGGGUUGUGUCUACAUGGUUACAAGAGUUUUUUUUCAAGACUACAUAUAUUUGAAAUGUUAAAAAAUAAAAAUUGUAGCUACAACUGAUAUAGCCCAGAAUGUAGAUGCGUCCCUGAAUAUGUCAGGCCUUGAACAUAGUAGUUAGAUGAGUAAAAAUGCUAUCCAUUAUACAUUGGUGGUGGUUGAGUGUGUCGUACAAGUUAGCUGGAAACCACAAUUACAAUAUUAAUUACCUUAUCACUUGACUGAAUAUUGGUACAAUGUAAGUUAAUAAGCAUAAACGUCAAGACUGAAUUAUUGGAUAUACACGAGAAACAGGUUGCUUUGCCUUCGACACUGCAUGCAUGUACCCCAACAUUGACUUGAACCAAGCUAUAUAUAUAUAUAUAUAUAUCUCUCUCUAAAUUGUUUUAACAAAAUUCUUUUUCGUUGAUUUUUUAUCUAAAAAUUAAUGAUUAUAUUUAUAAAAAAAUUCAUUCAAAUAACAAAGUUUGCCCCUAGUAUUAUAUUGCAAAUACAUUCAAUAAAGUGAAUUUUGUCAUUUGCAUAAAGUUUCAUUGAGUGACUGGUUUCAAAUGGGAUGGGUUGAGAGUUUUUUUUCAAGACUACAUGGAUAUUUGAAAUGUUUAAAAAUAAAAAAAAUAAAAAAAAUUGUAGCUACAUCCCCCAUACAACCUAGAAUGUAAAUGCGUCCCUUGGUAUGUCAAGUCUCUUGAAAUUGGUGGUUAGAUGAGUAAAAAUGCUACUCAUUAUACAUUGGUGUUGGUUGCAUGUGUCGUACAAGUUAGGUGGAGACCUUAAUUACAAUAUUAAUUACCUUGCCACUUGACUGAGUAUUUGUACAAAUUAGGUUGAUAAGCAUCAACAUCAAGACUGAAUUAUUAGAUAUACACGAUAAACACAUUGCUUGCUUUCCUACUUUUUAUCAACACUGCAUGCAUGGACCCAACAUUGACUUGAACCGAGCUAUUACCCUCUCUCUCUCUCUCUCUCUCCACCAAAGUUUGUUUUGGUAGGCCUCAGCACCAGUAAGAAUUCCGACACCUUUUUUUUUUUUUUUUUUUGUGUGCGCAUCUUUCUAGCAUAAGUUUGAAAAUGGUAAAAUUGCUGAUAUUCCUUGGCUACACCUUAGUGAACUAGUUGCAUAACCAAGGUAAGCACAAGUCUAACCUCUUUUCAUCUAAAUGGUUACACGGUCCCAAUUUGUUGGUCCGCAUUGCAGUUGCAAUAUUAAUU
rnacentral:lncRNA from 1 species